GAAAUGCGAUAAGUAGUGUGAAUUGCAGAAUUCAGUGAAUCAUCGAAUCUUUGAACGCACAUUGCGCCCUUUGGUAUUCCUUAGGGCAUGCCUGUUCGAGCGUCAUCUAAACCUUCAAGCCCUGCUUGGUGUUGGGUGUCUGUCCCGCCUCCGCGCGCGGACUCACCUCAAAUCCAUUGGCGGCCCCCGCGUCGGCCACGAGCGCAGCAGAAACGCGAACUCGUGAGCCCGUCCGGGCGGCUCCCAGAAGCUACACCCACCCAGUUUGACCUCGGAUCAGGUAGGGAUACCCGCUGAACUUAGGC
rnacentral:misc_RNA from 1 species